GGGGGGGCCAAUUGGGGUAGGGAGACUGGACCGUCGCGCGAGCCCGAGAUCCCAGAAACCUUAGGGGCGAGAUCGCUAGGUCGGUUAGUGGAAAUUAAGCUUAUAUCGGGUGCGACGGGUAGACCAGCGGGGUACGGGGGUCAGAAUUCCUCGGAAAGCUUAAGUGCAGACCUCCGAGUCACGCGAGACCCCUUGCUUUUGAGUGUCGGGGUGGGCCCGAAAAUCUAACUGUGGAGAAAUUCUUCCCCCACAGACAAGUUUUGAGAAUCAGUGCCCUGGUCAAAACGGAUUUCAAGGCGGCCCUCACCCGCUAACGUAAGGGAGCUGCAGGAGAGGGCUCACCUGCCCAGGAAGCCUCGGGGGCCAAUUGAGCCACGGUUCUCUCGACCACUCGCUCGGUGCUUGGGAGAUGCGGGGAAGAGUGGCCCCGACCAGGAAGUGAAUCCAUGGCUUUCAUCAAGUUCUCUAAAUGAUGAAAAAGAUUAGAAAACACUACUUUAAGGCUUGGUAAAAAGUAAGAGAAGGCCCACCUCCAUAAAAAUCACCUGACAACAACCUCUGUCGACCAUCCAAGAAGACACUGAAUGACCUGGACACUCCUCAACCUGCAACUGUUCCUGACCCAACUACUGCAAGACCUCUGGACCAGCGGCCCAACAGGAACCUCCUUUGAAGACCUGACCACACUGGUGUCUUAAGUGUGGCUUCAGGGAACCUUCUACAACCUAAGUCCAGACGAGAUUGAUUUCUUUACUCUCAUUCUCUACAUCAUUCUAUAUC
ensembl:lncRNA